GUUAAUAAUUGCAUUUAAUAGAUUUCACCCUACUUUGCAAUCGGUUUGUAAAAAGUGUUUUUGCAAGCGUUUCAAGCGCUUCAGACCGUGUACAAAUACUCUAGAACAAGUACAACACAUACAGUUUACAAUAUCAAGAACAAUAGAGUACAAGAUAUCUCAAAAACAAUACAAGGAAGAAGAUUAAAUAAACGAAAAAUUCCAUGGGAAUUAUACAAGGUUAAACACUGAAAGCCCUUUUUGACUUUUGAUUUUUCAUUUUUAUUAAUUGUUACAAUUAAUUAUAUUAUUAUUAUUAUUAUUAUUGUUGUUAUAAACCCUUUUCUAUUUUAAUCUAACUUGUUUUAUUUUGAUUUAAUUUAUUAAUUUCUGAAUUUGUUGUAAUCAGUUUAAUUAUUUUUUUCAUUUUGUUAUUUUUAUUUAUUUACUUGCACUCAAGUAUUUAUCUUUCAUUUAAAUCUUACUUAUCAGUUUUGGCUUUAUUCAUUUAUUUGUUUAUUUUAAUCUAUUUAAUUUUUUAUUUUUUGUCUGUUUAUUUUCUUUUUUAUUUUAAUUGACUUAAAUUUUUUGCAUAGUUUUUUUUUUUUUUUUUUUUUUUUUUGCUUUUUUAAAAGUUAAUGUAUUAAUUCAUUUGUUUUAAUAUAUUUGUUUUAAUAAAAAUUUUUGAUUGUAUCAUUUCAUUUAUUAGUUCUGUUUUUUAUUUUAAAAAUGUACUCAUUUAUUUACUUAAUUUACUUAACUUAUGUAAUUAUUUGUUUACUUUAUUCUAGUUUUUGAUUACAUAAAAAAAUUCAGUUAGAAAAGCGCUGCUGUCUCAGUCUGUUGGUCUGGUUCACAGAUACAGGAGCGUCAGAGAAAAGAGGCGGAGAAAAGGAGGAUGAUGAAGAAGAGAGCAAAGGCAGAGCGACGACUCGCGCCGCGUCCCGUCUGGAGGCAGAGAAGUACGACAGGCGUCUGAUGCUGCGAUGCUCACGGCUCCGUCAGUCCAGACUCAUUUCUCUGCUCUGUCUUUCAGAUAUAAACCCAGCAAACCGUCCACUCGAGCUGUCGGUAAACUCAGCGGGAAAGAGGAAAACUCCCCGAACACACGAUCGCGAGGGGACGCAAGCGUGACUCCAGUCCUGCUCUUCCUCGCACACGUGGAGGACAGAAAUCUGACGAGCUGCCUUCAAAAAGAGCCAAACGAUGAUGAGUCUGCGCUUGAUCUCCGGGAGCUCAGGGUCAGCAGUAGGUUAAAGGUCAGAGAGAGUUAGGAAUCAACAUGAUGGAGAUCUGCAGACUGAUGAAGAAGAGCUGCUGUGUGUGAACUCAUCCAGUUCAUCAGCGCCAGUGUGUGUGUGUGUGUGUGUGAGUAAGUAUGUGUGUGUGUGUGUGUGUGUGAGAGAGAGAGAGAGAGCAGGGCUUUAUUCCUGUGGUUCAGCUCAGAAUAGAUUAUUCCGUCUCAUGUAUUAUUGGGUGUUUUAAUGGAGUGCAGCAGGAAACAGCUGUGUGUGUUUUCACAGACGUUCUCAUUUGUUCCAGUAGGAGGCUGAAUAUGAUCUCUUUAGAUGUUCCAUUCAGUUAUUCCCUUCAUUUGCAGGUCAGUAGUUUUAUCAUUCUGCCAGCUCUCCCUCAAAC
ensembl:lncRNA